rnacentral:rRNA from 1 species
UUAAGCGACUAAGCGUACACGGUGGAUGCCCUGGCAGUCAGAGGCGAUGAAGGACGUGCUAAUCUGCGAUAAGCGUCGGUAAGGUGAUAUGAACCGUUAUAACCGGCGAUUUCCGAAUGGGGAAACCCAGUGUGAUUCGUCACACUAUCAUUAACUGAAUCCAUAGGUUAAUGAGGCGAACCGGGGGAACUGAAACAUCUAAGUACCCCGAGGAAAAGAAAUCAACCGAGAUUCCCCCAGUAGCGGCGAGCGAACGGGGAGCAGCCCAGAGCCUGAAUCAGUGUGUGUGUUAGUGGAAGCGUCUGGAAAGGCGCGCGAUACAGGGUGACAGCCCCGUACACAAAAAUGCACAUACUGUGAGCUCGAUGAGUAGGGCGGGACACGUGGUAUCCUGUCUGAAUAUGGGGGGACCAUCCUCCAAGGCUAAAUACUCCUGACUGACCGAUAGUGAACCAGUACCGUGAGGGAAAGGCGAAAAGAACCCCGGCGAGGGGAGUGAAAAAGAACCUGAAACCGUGUACGUACAAGCAGUGGGAGCACGCUUCGGCGUGUGACUGCGUACCUUUUGUAUAAUGGGUCAGCGACUUAUAUUCUGUAGCAAGGUUAACCGAAUAGGGGAGCCGAAGGGAAACCGAGUCUUAACUGGGCGUUAAGUUGCAGGGUAUAGACCCGAAACCCGGUGAUCUAGCCAUGGGCAGGUUGAAGGUUGGGUAACACUAACUGGAGGACCGAACCGACUAAUGUUGAAAAAUUAGCGGAUGACUUGUGGCUGGGGGUGAAAGGCCAAUCAAACCGGGAGAUAGCUGGUUCUCCCCGAAAGCUAUUUAGGUAGCGCCUCGUGAAUUCAUCUCCGGGGGUAGAGCACUGUUUCGGCAAGGGGGUCAUCCCGACUUACCAACCCGAUGCAAACUGCGAAUACCGGAGAAUGUUAUCACGGGAGACACACGGCGGGUGCUAACGUCCGUCGUGAAGAGGGAAACAACCCAGACCGCCAGCUAAGGUCCCAAAGUCAUGGUUAAGUGGGAAACGAUGUGGGAAGGCCCAGACAGCCAGGAUGUUGGCUUAGAAGCAGCCAUCAUUUAAAGAAAGCGUAAUAGCUCACUGGUCGAGUCGGCCUGCGCGGAAGAUGUAACGGGGCUAAACCAUGCACCGAAGCUGCGGCAGCGACACUAUGUGUUGUUGGGUAGGGGAGCGUUCUGUAAGCCUGUGAAGGUGUACUGUGAGGUAUGCUGGAGGUAUCAGAAGUGCGAAUGCUGACAUAAGUAACGAUAAAGCGUGUGAAAAGCCCGCUCGCCGGAAGACCAAGGGUUCCUGUCCAACGUUAAUCGGGGCAGGGUGAGUCGACCCCUAAGGCGAGGCCGAAAGGCGUAGUCGAUGGGAAACAGGUUAAUAUUCCUGUACUUGGUGUUACUGCGAAGGGGGGACGGAGAAGGCUAUGUUGGCCGGGCGACGGUUGUCCCGGUUUAAGCGUGUAGGCUGGUUUUCCAGGCAAAUCCGGAAAAUCAAGGCUGAGGCGUGAUGACGAGGCACUACGGUGCUGAAGCAACAAAUGCCCUGCUUCCAGGAAAAGCCUCUAAGCAUCAGGUAACAUCAAAUCGUACCCCAAACCGACACAGGUGGUCAGGUAGAGAAUACCAAGGCGCUUGAGAGAACUCGGGUGAAGGAACUAGGCAAAAUGGUGCCGUAACUUCGGGAGAAGGCACGCUGAUAUGUAGG